AACGUCAAAUUACACGUGCUUUUUAAUGUAUAAACAAUGGCCAAAACACCGGCGCUAUCAACAAAUGUUGUAUUAAAAACAGCGAAAAAACGCGCAAAACCGUGCCAGACGUUCAAACGGGAUCAACAAGUGGCGGGCGCCGCGACGACAGCGCCGCUAAUUUCGACGUUGGCCGCGCCACGACGCGUCCCUCCACCUGUUUUCAUUGCUUGCAUUCCUAUACACGACGGUUCUUUGACCGAAGUGUGUUUUUUUAUCAAAAUUCGUUAUCAACCCCCAGUUUUUGUUCGUUUUUUUUGCAGUUAUUAUUUGUUUUAAGCCGUUUUUGUGCAUGUGCCUUACGUUUUUGUUAUUUUGCUUUAUAAGUUUGAUGACUGUGCCCGACGACCUGUCUUGUUAACUCUGUGUUCGGCUGUUAAAUGAGUGCUCCGUAAUUCCAGUUUUUUUUGUCGGCUUUGAGGUAUACCAGGCUCUCGUUAUUUCGAAAGGGUGUACGCUAGGAACGGAGAAACGAUCUGGAUUGAAGGACUGCAUGCUGCCGCCUUCUUUAUUUCUCUAACUAGU